rnacentral:lncRNA from 1 species
AAGAGGUGGGCUCCCAUGUGCCAUGUCCCAAGGCUGCACAGAGCAGCUGGGCCCUGGGCCUGGCCCAUAAAACCAUUUUGCCCUCCUAGGCCUCUGGGCUUGUGAUACAAGGGGCUGCUGUGAAGGUCUCUGACAUGCCCUGGAGAUAUUUUCCCCAUUGUCUUGGCAAUUAACAUUUGGCUCCUCUUUACUUAUGCAAAUUUCUGUAGCUGGCUUGAAUUUCUCCCCAGAAAAUGGGUUUUUCUUUUCUACUGCAUGGUCAGGCUGCAAAUUUUCCAAACUUUUAUGCUCUGCUUCACUUUUAAAUGUAAGUUCCAAUUUCAAACCAUCUCUUUCUCUAUGCAUAUCAGCAUACACUUUUAGAAACAGCCAGGUCACAUCUUGAAUGCUUUGCUGCUUAGAAAUUUCUUCUACCAGAUAUCAUAUGUCAUCACUUCCAAAUGGAAAGUCCCACAGAUCUCUAGGGCAGGGGCAAAAUGCCACCAGUCUCUUUGCUAAAGCAUAGUAAGAGUGACCUUUACUCCAGUUCCCAGUAAAUUUCUCAUCUCCAUCUGAGAGCACCUCAGCCUGGACUUCGUUGUCCAUAUCACUAUCAGCAUUUUGGUCAAAACCACUCAACAAGUCUCUAGGAAGUUUCUAACUUUCCACAUCUUCCUGUCUUCUUCUGAACCCUCCAAACUCUUCCAACCUUUGCAUGUUACCCAAUUCCAAAGUCACUUUGUCAUUUUUAGGUAUUUCUAUAGCAGUGCCUGACUCCCAGUACCAAUUUCCUGUAUUAGUUCAUUCUCACACUGCUAUGAAGAACUACCUGAGACUGGUGAUUGAAUCAUGGGGGUGGACUCCCACCAGGCCCCACCCGCAACAUGUGGGGAUUGCAAUUUGAGAUGAGAUUUGGGUGGGGACACAGAGCCAAACCAUACCACCUCAGCAUUCCAUCUCUGGUCCCAGCCAACUGCAGACUCUCAGGCUUUCAUGCUGCAUCCCUAGUAUCUGCCUGUUCCAGCAUCUUGAAUGCUCGUUCAGGUUGUAAGCAAAUACCUAUGCAGUCCUUGUUCCUGAGGCUCAGUCAUCAUAACUUGCCCAGAAGCUCGGGGCACUUAGGAUGGGGUUCCUGCCUUGCCUUUUCCAAACACAGUUCAUUUCCCCUGUCCUUGCUACAAGAAUGGGUCUCCCCCAAAAUUCAGGCCACAUGUCCAGGCUGUUGUCCUCUCUGCAGACAUGCCUGAUGAGCUGACCUGUGAGGACCUCUGAAUAAAUCAGGGAUUCUCAGCCUCAGCACUGUUGACAUUUUAGUGGGAUAAUUCUUCACUGGGGGCAUGUGGCUGUCCUGGGCAUCACAGAAUGUUUACCAGCACCCUUGGCCUCUACCCACUGGAUGCCAGUAGCACCCCUCACCCAAGAUGUGAGAACCCAGCCUGGAUGUGAGACAUGGAGUCAAAGAAGAUUAUUUUGGAG